CCGGCUGUAUGCGUUUUGCUUUUACUUUGGCUGAAGUUUAUUACUUGUCAGCGGAGCUGGCGUUUGUUGCCGUGUUUGCAACCUGGGGUUGUGUGUACAGAUCUAAUAAGGGAGAAAUGAUUUCAUUGUUCAGGUAGAACAAAAGCUCUGAGCCCCUUUGAGGGAUGAAAAUUCCGGGUUAAGCUUUGCUGGGUUCUGUAAAAAAAAUCCUUCCUGGUGAUCGCAAGGGCUGCACGGACGCUUCCAGUGCUGAGCCACAGCACCUGGCUGCCAGAAUCCUGCAAGAGAAGAGGGAGAAACCCGAGUGGUGUCACUUUGGGGAGUGUGUGAGCCCCUUGAAAUCUUCACGCCAAGCGUGGCUGGGUUUCCCUCUUCAGCUCCUGGCAGCUAGAGAGAGCAGCCUGCAUGUUUUAGCAGGCUUAUUAUUCCAUGUCAUUAUGAGUGCUGUAAGUAGCUCUUUGUGUCACGGUAGCCACAUUCCUUGCCCACAGCGUGCCUUGCCUGCUCUGUUGAAGCAGGAUAUUCCCCGGCUGAUUAACAAGAAGAGAAUUUCGUGCCAUGCCCUGCUCUCCCAGGUGCCGUCGGGCGGCGAGAAAGCUCUUUUUGCAGUUCAGCUGUUGAACCAUGCCUGUGAGGUUGUGCUUAAGGAAGGUGAGGAUUUCUUCUCCGAAGUGCAAGAUGGACAUUGGAGAUGGACUUGUUCCCGGUAUCGCUUCUUCAGAGGUCUAGAAGAAAACUCAAUUUAUUCCUGGAUUUAAGCAAGAGGCAGAAGCUGACCCUGCAGUUUGUGCUGUGCUGCUGCUCACUCCUCCAGCGUCCCCCAAAGCUGCCCAAUGGCAGCACCCCAGGAGCUAGGGUUUGACUGCCCCACUGGACAAGUGCUGAGAGGUGAGGUGGGAUGCAGGGGACGGGUGGUUUGGUUGGGCUCGGUGGCAGGAGGGUCCCCAGGUGACAGCAGGGGGACACGCUGCAGCUCCCUGGCUGCUGGUGCUCGUGGGCCAGCGGUGGCACCGCUCCGUGCCUCAGUUUCCCUGCCUGUGUCAAAGGAGCUCGGUUCUGGCCCUUCGCAGGGGAAAACAUCCUUGGUUCGUGGUGGAUGAGGUGUGACUGCUGGGUGGGAAAAGCCCUGCGGUGCCAGGAGAUGGCACCAUCCUCCCAGCAACCCGCUGCAUGCGCCCAGAUCGAGGGGAGACCCCAGGCUGGGCCUGUCCUGGUCCUGUGCCCUGCGUGGCUCCUGGCCUAAAAUAAAAUAAAAUAAUAAAAUAUCUCAAAACCUCUCCCUCCUGCUAAACCUUAUCCUGGGCUGGCAUCCGAGGGACUUUGCAGGAGGCCAGAGCAUUCAGGGUAGCUGGGGCGAGCAGGUCACCCCCGAGGCCACGCUUGGUUCCCUUUUCAGUGAAAAAGGACUAAUAAAAGUGGAAUCGAAGACCUUUGGGAAGUGGCCUUUUGUGCUCUGCCAGCCACCACGGCUCAUCUGGCGGCAGUUUUCAGAGGAGCAGCCCCAGCUGGGGGAAUCUGAGCAGCCUGCCAGGUCCUCUUCUGUCUUUUAAUUUCUGGUUUUAGGGGCGUAACGGUGUUUGGUGGAGAAAAUAGGAGAGAAAUGAGAAUUGUGCAAGGUAGAGCUGAGGGAGGUGAUCUCUGUGGCUCAGCCCGGAUCCCCCUGGGGCCCAUGGGAAGGAAUUGGGUGCUGUUUGCUGUCCCCCAGUCCCUGUCCCACCUGCCCUGGCAUUUCAGCAUCACUUCAAUGUCGGCAAUGAGGUAUGGCACAAGCAGCCCACGUAGCAGCGAGCCCAGCAGGCAAAUCCCCAUCCCAAGAGCAUUUGUGGGAUGCGAUGCAUGGCCCUUAUCUAAAACAUUCCCAAUGAUCCGUGUCUCACUCCAAAUGACCCGUGCUUUUUAAUGGGACAUCAUUUCUAGACACUUCAUUAGUGGCACAACAUUGGAUUGAGGCAAACCUUCCACUGACCAAGGGAGCCUGUGGUCAAGGAGGGUUUUUUUUCCUCC